rnacentral:rRNA from 1 species
UACGUAGGAUGCAAGCGUUGUCCGGAAUUAUUAGGCGUAAAGAGCUCGUAGGCGACUUGUCACGUCGACUGUGAAAACCUGAGGCUUAACUCCGGGCCUGCAGUCGAUACGGGCAAGCUAGAGUUCGAUAAAAAAGACUGGAAUUCCUGGUGUAGCGGUGAAAUGCGCAGAUAUCAGGAGGAACACCGAUGGCGAAGGCGGGUCUCUGGGCCGAUACUGACGCUGAGGAGCGAAAGCGUAGGGAGCGAACAGG